GCUGGGUGCAGUGGCACACACCUAUAAUCCCAGCCUUUUGGGAGGCUGAGGCAGGAGGAUUGUGAGUUCAAAGCCAGCCUCAGCAACUUAGCUAGGCCCUGAGCAAUUCAGCAAGACCCAGUCUCUA
rnacentral:sRNA from 1 species